CAUCCUCUGACAACCCUAGAGAUAGGGCUUCCCCUUCGGGGGCAGAGUGACAGGUGAAAACAUGGUUGUCGUCAGCUCGUGUCGUGAGAUGUUGGGUUAAGUCCCGCAACGAGCGCAACCCUUGAUCUUAGUUGCCAGCAUUCAGUUGGGCACUCUAAGGUGACUGCCGGUGACAAACCGGAGGAAGGUGGGGAUGACGUCAAAUCAUCAUGCCCCUUAUGACCUGGGCUACACACGUGCUACAAUGGGCAGAACAAAGGGCAGCGAAGCCGCGAGGCUAAGCCAAUCCCACAAAUCUGUUCUCAGUUCGGAUCGCAGUCUGCAACUCGACUGCGUGAAGCUGGAAUCGCUAGUAAUCGCGGAUCACCAUGCCGCGGUGAAUACGUUCCCGGGCCUUGUACACACCGCCCGCCCCCCACGAGAGUUUGU
rnacentral:rRNA from 1 species